CACGUAGGGCGCAAGCGUUGUCCGGAAUUAUUGGGCGUAAAGAGCUCGUAGGCGGUCUGUCACGUCCGCUGUGAAAACCCAGGGCUCAACCCUGGGCUUGCAGUGGAUACGGGCAGACUAGAGGUAGGUAGGGGAGACUGGAAUUCCUGGUGUAGCGGUGAAAUGCGCAGAUAUCAGGAGGAACACCGAUGGCGAAGGCAGGUCUCUGGGCCAUAACUGACGCUGAGAAGCGAAAGCAUGGGGAGCGAACAGG
rnacentral:rRNA from 1 species